CCUACGGGAGGCAGCAGUGAGGAAUAUUGGUCAAUGGCCGUAAGGCUGAACCAGCCAAGUAGCGUGAGGGAAGACUGCCCUAUGGGUUGUAAACCUCUUUUAUGCGGGGAUAAAGGUGUCCACGUGUGGAUGUUUGCAGGUACAGCCUGAAUAAGGACCGGGUAAUUCCGGGCCAGCAGCGGAGGGAAGACGGAAGGGCCGGUGGUUAUCCGGAUUUAUUGAGUUGAAGGGGCGGGUAGACCGGUCUUUAAGCGUGCCGUGAAAUGUUUUGGUUCGAGCAUGAGUGUGCGGCGCGAACUGGAGACCUUGAGGGCGCGGAAGGCAGGAGGAAUUGGGGGUGUAGCGGUUAAAUGCUUAGAUAUCACGAAGAACCCCGAUUGCGAAGGCAGCCUGCCGCAGCGUUACUGACGCUGAAGCUCGACAGCGCGGGUAUCGAACAGGAGUAGAUACCCUGGUAGUC
rnacentral:rRNA from 1 species